GAUGAACGCUGGCGGUAUGCUUAACACAUGCAAGUCGAACGGACUCUUCGGAGUUAGUGGCGGACGGGUGAGUAACGCGUGAGAAUCUGGCUUUGGGUUCGGGACAACCACUGGAAACGGUGGCUAAUACCGGAUGUGCCGAGAGGUAAAAGAGAAAUUGCCUGAAGAUGAGCUCGCGUCUGAUUAGCUAGUUGGUGGGGUAAAGGCUCACCAAGGCAGCGAUCAGUAGCUGGUCUGAGAGGAGGACCAGCCACACUGGGACUGAGACACGGCCCAGACUCCUACGGGAGGCAGCAGUGGGCAAUUUUCCACUAUGGGCGAUCGCCUGACGGAGCAAUACCGCGUGAGUGAACACGGCUCUUGGGUUGUAAACCUCUUUUCUUAGGGAAGAACAAAAUGACGGUACCUAAGGAAUCAGCAUCGGCUAACUCCGUG
rnacentral:rRNA from 1 species